UCUAUGGGCCAUCUGUAUGUCCUCCUUGGAGAAGUGUUUAUUCAGGUCCUUUGCCCAUUUUUAAAUUGGGUUGUUUGUCUCCUUGGUGUUGAAUCAUAUGAAUUCUUCAUAUAUUUUGGAGGUUAAACCCUUGUCCAAGGUAUCAUUGA